GCCCUUGUAGCUCAGUAGUAGAGCAUCAGUCUAGUAAACUGAAGGUCCGGAGUUGAAUCCUGCGCGAGGGCC
rnacentral:tRNA from 1 species